rnacentral:rRNA from 1 species
AUGGUGCACGUCGAGCUCGACCUUGCGGACGAGUGGUCCGAGUCCGACGUCUCGGAAGAUGUCUCCGACUCCGAAGUGGGCGACGGCCUGGACUGGCUCGACGCCGUCGAGAGCCAUGAUGGUUCAGCCCGGCUAUCCGCCGCCUUCUCGACCGUCGGAGGCGCGGCCGCGGCGCGGAGGCUGAAUGCGCACGGCGGCGUGCUCUCCCGCCCCUUUCAGCCGCUCUCCAAUCGCACGCAGAAGCUUGCCUCCCACAUCCGGGCCACGCCCUUGGAGGAGUGGGAAGGUAGAAUGAACGUGGGGAUGUCAAAUUCGGGCCACUUAUAUAUCAUUGAUGUUUCGCAAUCUGUUGACGUUGAUCACCCUUUGGCGUUGGACUUAUUAAAGGAAGAUUGUUUGCAUGUUUCUGACUUCUUUAUGAAACGAGGUGUCGCUGUCAUGACAGUAAUGGAUCUAUUUAAUUUUGUGAUUGAUCAAAACAUUGCGGAUGACGAUGUAGAUGAUUACCUAGAAAAGGUUCAGCAAAAGAUGUUGGAGAAUGGAGAUACACUCGCAAAUGAUGAUGACAUAUCUCCAACAGUCAUGGUGCAGACGUUGGAUUAUGCGAAGCAGUGUGAGGCUGAUAUAGUCAACAUGUCAAUGUUGCAACAACCAUCCUUGUGUUACGAGCCACCAGCGGAUAAGCUUUAUAACCAGCCAUUGCUAGGAUUUGUGCGGGCUGAAAAAAACAAGCGUACUGCUGAAAAGCAGAAAAAACAGUUGCCACAUAAUAAAUGCUCAUUGCUAAGUAGUGGAUCUUGCUCUAGUUCUGGUGAAGAUUUGAGGUAUGAGGCUGAUCCCAAGAUGGGACCUGAGGAGAGGAAGGCUGCUCGGAAGGAGGAGAAGAAGAAAGUGAAAGAAGAGAAGAGAGAAGCUCGGAAGACAAAGGAGCCGAAGGCCGAUAAGAAGAGGAGGAAGAAAAUGGCAAAAGCGAAGUGCAAGAGGUAG